UACGAAGGGGGCUAGCGUUGCUCGGAAUCACUGGGCGUAAAGCGCACGUAGGCGGAUUGCUAAGUCAGGGGUGAAAUCCUGGAGCUCAACUCCGGAAUUGCCUUUAAGACUGCAUCGCUAGAAUCAUGGAGAGGUUAGUGGAAUUCCGAGUGUAGAGGUGAAAUUCGUAGAUAUUCGGAAGAACACCAGUGGCGAAGGCGACUAACUGGACAUGUAUUGACGCUGAGGUGCGAAAGCGUGGGGAGCAAACAGG
rnacentral:rRNA from 1 species